UACGGAGGGAGCUAGCGUUGUUCGGAAUUACUGGGCGUAAAGCGCACGUAGGCGGCUUUGUAAGUCAGAGGUGAAAUCCCGGGGCUCAACCCCGGAACUGCCUUUGAGACUGCAAGGCUCGAAUCCAGGAGAGGUGAGUGGAAUUCCGAGUGUAGAGGUGAAAUUCGUAGAUAUUCGGAAGAACACCAGUGGCGAAGGCGGCUCACUGGACUGGUAUUGACGCUGAGGUGCGAAAGCGUGGGGAGCAAACAGG
rnacentral:rRNA from 1 species